GCGGUGCUGCGGGGUUCGUCAGGAGUACUUUUCCCCGGGGCCUUAUCGACUCCCCAGGGAGCUGUCCCUGGCCCUGUCCCUGGACUUGGCCAACACGGCGCCCACCUACACUGUAGGUUUCCCGGGAUCGCAACUCCAACGGCUCACGUGGCUCCGCA
rfam:Methylobacterium sp. Leaf93 contig_1, whole genome shotgun sequence.